rnacentral:lncRNA from 1 species
AACAGGUGGUGGUCACCUGCAGGGCUCCCAUAAUCAAACAGGUGGUGGUCACCUGCAGUGUUCCCAUCAUCAAACAGGUGGUGGUCACCUGCAGUGUUCCCAUCAACAGGUAGUCACCUGCAGUGCUCCCAUCAUCAACAGGUGGUAGUCACCUGCAGUGCUCCCAUCAUCAAACAAGUGGUAGUCACCUGCAGUGCUCCCAUCAUCAAACAGGUGGUAGUCACCUGCAGUGCUCCCAUCA